GGUAUCGUGGCAGAGUGGUAAUGCACCAGUUUGCUAAACUGGCGAAGCGGAAACGCUGCGAAGGUUCGAUCCCUUCCGAUACCGCCA
rnacentral:tRNA from 1 species